CCUACGGGUGGCAGCAGUCGGGAAUAUUGCGCAAUGGAGGAAACUCUGACGCAGUGACGCCGCGUGCAGGAAGAAGGUUUUCGGAUUGUAAACUGCUUUAGACAGGGAAGAAACAAGACAGUACCUGUAAAAUAAGCUCCGGCUAACUACGUGCCAGCAGCCGCGGUAAUACGUAGGGAGCAAGCGUUAUCCGGAUUUAUUGGGUGUAAAGGGAGCGUAGACGGUUAUGUAAGUCUGGAGUGAAAGCCCGGGGCCCAACCCCGGGACUGCUUUGGAAACUGUGUAACUGGAGUACAGGAGGGGCAGGCGGAAUUCCUGGUGUAGCGGUGAAAUGCGUAGAUAUCAGGAGGAACACCGGCGGCGAAGGCGGCCUGCUGGACUGAAACUGACGUUGAGGCUCGAAAGCGUGGGGAGCAAACAGGAUUAGAUACCCGAGUAGUC
rnacentral:rRNA from 1 species